UAUAAAUACAAGUGCAAGCAUUUUCAACAUGGUAAACAAAUACACUUGGGGGGAUGCCUGUUCUGCAGUUUGAAUCGUAAGAAGCGGGUUUUCAUGGAUUUGUCGUAAUUGGGAGAAAUGAGAAAAGAAAAAGUAAACAAAUAAAUAACUUUAUUUAUGAGUAUGUGAAAAGUGCAAUUGUAUUUUUCUAUCAUUCUCUCCUUCUCAAAUAGACCUGUCUUUGUUUAAUUGAUCUUGGGUGGUAUCUCUCUUUUGUGGUCACCUUAUCUGUACCCAUUAUAUCGCUGAAGCAUUAGAGCGAGCACUUUAGCGAGUAUUCCUUAUCGAACACAAUGCUACUACAUGUACUUCGAAUUAGUCCACCCUAUCGUUGGCGAUCCAGAUUAACAAGAUUGGGGAGGAUCGAUGUCCACUCACUAAGUUUCAACUGUAUUAGUGUUCAUACAAAACAAACAAUACAGAAGCCUAGUACCACCCCACCCUCCACAAAAACACACAUGUAUACUUGCAUACAAAUCGUGUAUUUUGCUUAUAUUAGAUUUUGUAAGUAAUCUACACUGCUGUUGAUUUGGCCAAGUCUCAGAUGGUAGACUUCUUCGAAGUAAAAACGAUACCCAAAUCGAUUGCCUUUCCUUAAAUCAUAAUCAGAAAAGUAU
rnacentral:sRNA from 1 species